GGUUAAGCGACUAAGCGUACACGGUGGAUGCCCUGGCAGUCAGAGGCGAUGAAGGGCGUGCUAAUCUGCGAUAAGCGCCGGUAAGGUGAUAUGAACCGUUAUAACCGGCGAUACCCGAAUGGGGAAACCCAGUGUGAUUCGUCACACUAUCAUUAACUGAAUCCAUAGGUUAAUGAGGCGAACCGGGGGAACUGAAACAUCUAAGUACCCCGAGGAAAAGAAAUCAACCGAGAUUCCCCCAGUAGCGGCGAGCGAACGGGGAGGAGCCCAGAGCCUGAAUCAGCAUGUGUGUUAGUGGAAGCGUCUGGAAAGGCGCGCGAUACAGGGUGACAGCCCCGUACACAAAAGCGCAUGUGCUGUGAGCUCGAUGAGUAGGGCGGGACACGUGGUAUCCUGUCUGAAUAUGGGGGGACCAUCCUCCAAGGCUAAAUACUCCUGACUGACCGAUAGUGAACCAGUACCGUGAGGGAAAGGCGAAAAGAACCCCGGCGAGGGGAGUGAAAAAGAACCUGAAACCGUGUACGUACAAGCAGUGGGAGCACAGGUUUACCUGUGUGACUGCGUACCUUUUGUAUAAUGGGUCAGCGACUUAUAUUCUGUAGCAAGGUUAACCGUAUAGGGGAGCCGCAGGGAAACCGAGUCUUAAUUGGGCGUUAAGUUGCAGGGUAUAGACCCGAAACCCGGUGAUCUAGCCAUGGGCAGGUUGAAGGUUGGGUAACACUAACUGGAGGACCGAACCGACUAAUGUUGAAAAAUUAGCGGAUGACCUGUGGCUGGGGGUGAAAGGCCAAUCAAACCGGGAGAUAGCUGGUUCUCCCCGAAAGCUAUUUAGGUAGCGCCUCGUGAAUUCAUCUCCGGGGGUAGAGCACUGUUUCGGCUAGGGGGCCAUCCCGGCUUACCAACCCGAUGCAAACUGCGAAUACCGGAGAAUGUUAUCACGGGAGACACACGGCGGGUGCUAACGUCCGUCGUGAAGAGGGAAACAACCCAGACCGCCAGCUAAGGUCCCAAAGUCAUGGUUAAGUGGGAAACGAUGUGGGAAGGCCCAGACAGCCAGGAUGUUGGCUUAGAAGCAGCCAUCAUUUAAAGAAAGCGUAAUAGCUCACUGGUCGAGUCGGCCUGCGCGGAAGAUGUAACGGGGCUAAACCAUGCACCGAAGCUGCGGCAGCGAACGUAUCACUUAAAGCGAUUCAGCGGGUUACGAUUGACGGAGCGAAGCGACGUCAAAGCGUAUACAAAGUCGAGUCGGUUUAAGGAUACGUUCGUUGGGUAGGGGAGCGUUCUGUAAGCCUGUGAAGGUGGCCUGUGAGGGUUGCUGGAGGUAUCAGAAGUGCGAAUGCUGACAUAAGUAACGAUAAAGCGGGUGAAAAGCCCGCUCGCCGGAAGACCAAGGGUUCCUGUCCAACGUUAAUCGGGGCAGGGUGAGUCGACCCCUAAGGCGAGGCCGAAAGGCGUAGUCGAUGGGAAACGGGUUAAUAUUCCCGUACUUGGUGUUACUGCGAAGGGGGGACGGAGAAGGCUAUGUUGGCCGGGCGACGGUU
rnacentral:rRNA from 1 species